rnacentral:lncRNA from 10 species
CCAACUGGACCAUGGAUACAAGGCCCACAUCCUUGUGAUGUCAGGGUGCUGAGUUGGGAGGAACUUGGGUCCCUGGAAGCCUUGAGCAGGAGGCUCACCCCGGCUCUGUACCAUCCACCUCAACUUUAUUGGGAUGAAACUAACUUUUCUCUUGUUACUUUUGGUUUUUGCUUUUAUUUUGCACCAAAUGAUACAGUAUUUAGUAGGCAGGAGACACUGUGUAAAACUCUUGUCUGGGCGUGGUGGCUUAUGCCUGUAAUCCCAGCACAUUGGGAGGCCAAGGCGGGCGGAUGAUGAGGUCAGGUGUUCGAGACCAGCCUGGCCAAUAUGGUAACACCUCGUCUCUACUAAAAAUACAAAAGUUAGCUGGGCGUGGUGGCGGGCACCUGUAGUCCCAGCUACUUGGGAGGCUGAGGCAGAAGAAUCGCUUGAACCAGGGAAGUGGAGGUUGCAAUGAGCCAAGAUCGUACCAGUGCACUCCAGCCCGGGCGACAGAGCAAGACUCCGUCUCAAAACAACAACAACAACAACAACAACAACAACUCCAAGAGGCCUAUGAGGCACCUGCCAAACCUGCACAGAUUCCUACAGCAGCCAGUUCGCUCUGUCUCGAGGCUUCAGAGGAACACGAACUUCUCUGAUGGAAGAGCCUUGUUCUAGAAGGGAGUGAAGCCUAGGUCUUUCCUGAGCACACAGAAGAUCAAGACCACACUCACUGACUUCUCAUAGUCAAGCAAUUUUGGCCAAUUAAAUGUCAGUUGGAAACUCCUGUGUCAGCUUCUCUGUGGCGGUGAGAAGUCCCUGUGUGACAUCCCAACUCUCCCCUCACCUGCGUUGGCAACCAAGAAAGCCUUGUGUUGGAGGUGGGGCCACAAGUUUAAAGCUAAGUUACCACCUCGAGGGCACAUUCCUGGAGAGCUUCCCAGGCCCACAGUGGCACGUGUAUGAGUGACAGAUCCACUUCUUUAUUACCUUUUUGAAGAACAGGAACCUUUGUCUGGAAAUUCCACAAGUAUGCCUUUUGCAAGAUUAAAAGUGCCACAAAGAACAAAAAUGAGCCCAGGACCAGAUGCAUGUUAAAAGCCAUCAGACACGUUAAGUUUCAUCUCCAUUGACCUGAGCCAGUUGGAGUGUGAGGCUUCAGAAUCGCCUUCCAACUCUCUGUGCACUGCACCAGCUGCUUCCCAUAGACUCCUGGUAAAAUAUAGAGCGGAAGGAAGAAGAGCCACUACCCAUAACAUCAGUGGCUGCUAACUAAGGAGUGUUUUGACAUGCUGGUACAGCCUAUCCUCAGCUUUCCAGAAGGUGGAAUCUUGUGAUAGUGGAAAGAAGUAGAAGAGAUGAAGUACCUAUGACUCCAGGAUUUGCCAGUGAAAGAAGUCAACAAUAUUUUAACUUUGAUCUUAACCAAAAGGCCAAGAAGUGAUGCUAAUAUUUUCAUAUACUACGACAGUUGCAGACACACGUCUAUCAUAGCUGGGUAGUAAUCCAGGCAACUCUGCCACAAGUCAUGGGCUCAGCCACCAGUCCACGAAGUCUCCAGUCACACAUAUUGCUUCGGACUAUUCUCUAUCCCCAGUUGUCAAUUAACUAAAAUAUUAAAUGAGGAUGCCAUGGAGUCCCCCAACUGAUUUCAUAAAUUUGGUGUCACAUUGUAAAUCAAGCAGCUGCAGAGUGGCUGGGACAUCUGUUUGGUUCUGUUAUUCUCUUUACUCCAAAAGGAAACUAACUCCAAAAGCUCCUUCCAGUUGGCUGAGAUUUAAAGGAUGGUUGGAGAUCCAGCAGCCAUCUUGGACCAUGAGGUGAAUCAUGAUGAAGCAAAAUGACAGAAAGAGCCAAGAUCCUUGUCCUGUGGAAAGCAAUACAGCCACUGAAAGCUAACUACACUGGAACACUCUCAUUUCUGCAAAGAAAAAUAUCAUAUCCCAGGAUGAAAAGGAGGAGGAAGAGGAAAGGCUAACUUAACAAGAAGCUCUUUGACAUUCUUGAAUUAGACACCCAACGUAGUCCACGCAGUACGGAGGAUGACUUCAGAAGUGCAAUUCUGAUAUGGACUUUGUCUCCCUAAGGCUUUCAGUUCCUCAUAUUUAGGAUAAAACAGAAGUUUAUGUAAAGCCAAGGGAGAGGGUCACCGGGAGAGGGAAGGAGGAACAGCAGAAGGAGAGGUCCACACAUGAAAAUACUUGGAAGCGCCCCAGGGCCUAUCAGAUGCAGGUCUUGGCGGAAAUUACCAAACAUACUUUAGACAGGCUGCUGUGUUGCUGAGUGUGGACUGGCCUCAGGGCCUGCUGAUCAAAGCAAAAGGAAGCAGUGAAAAAAACAUCACCAUGUCUUCUUAGAGUCUAAUCUGGGGGCAAGAGGCCAGCAUGCACAGUUGGUGCUGAUUUUCUUGGGCGGAUAGAGGAAAGGUGUAGGCGUGGCCAACAUUUGAGCAGCAUGUGGUUCCUCUCACACGCCAUGCUGUUUCCGGCCUCCUUGCAUUUUACUCAUGCCAUCCUCCUGGUCACUUCUUUGAGAUAUUAAGUGCAUUCUUUAGGACUCAGACUCAGCUCAAGGGUCAGUGCAUCCAUGAAGCCUUACCUGGAUCCCAGAGGGAGCUCUGUGCUCCUCCUUUGUCUCCUAUAGGACCCAGUACAUGCGUCCAGUAUUAUCCAUACACACUGAAAUGAUCUAGCAUGUGUCUUCCCAUAGGAUUUCAAAUUCUUAGAAUAUAGGAGUGAUGCCUUCUUCCUACUUAUAUUUCCAGUGUUAACAGUGCCUGUCAAUUGACUUGAAGAUAACUAAAAGUCUGGUUGUUAAGGGCUGCUUCCCACCUCCAAAUACUUCCCUGGAAGUCAUUGUAUGGGCACUGACAUUGGUAGGUCUCCACUGGCUUGUAGAUGCUUCUGAUUAUAAGGUAGUCUCAGAUGCCUUCAGAAAGUUCUAAGACUGUAUAAAACAUUUCCUUCACAACCAAUAACUGUGUAUUAUUGUUCGUGUAAUUCCAGAAGUUAUCCUUUUGAUAGAGAGCAAUUACUUUAUUGAUUGAGAGUUAGCUAAUUAUGUAAUAAAGGUAAAGAUUUGCAUAGAGAAGUGUAAGAGACAUGGAGAAGAUUCUUGGUGGGUGGUGAGGGCGGGUACAUUUACACCAGACCAAGACUGAUCUGGCUGUGGCGCUGGAGAUUAAACUGUUUAAAUAUGGGAUCCUAAGAAGACUUCUGUGCAUUCUAGACUUCAAGAGACAGAUUGCAUUUUUUUUUAGGAAAUGUAGAUAAAACCCUUUGACUGAAUGACUCUAGAAAAUAAUACUGAUUUGAGAGAGAAAGGAAAUUCUAAAACAAAAUCCUGACAGCAGAGGCAUGAAUGAUCCUCAUGAGGAAGAAAUGAGACUCUGCUUAACUACACUGUAGAUUUUGGUGUGGAAGAAGAUGGAAGGUGGGUAUAUAGCCAAAUUUUGAAUACAAUAGGGCAGCACAAAACUGUGACAACAGUGGCAGAAGGACUGAAGUACAGAAUGUGUGAAAGUUGUUGUGAAAUAAAUAGAGAGCAACAGAAAAGGACUAUUUGGGCUGGGCAAUGGUAAUCCCAGAACUUUGGGAGGCUGAGUCAGGUGGAUCACCUGAGGUCAGGAGCUCAAGACCAGCCUGACCAACAUGGUGAAAUCCCAUCUCUACUAAAAAUACAAAAAAUUAGCUGGGCCUGGUAGCGGGUGCCUGUAAUCCGAGCUACUAGGGAGGCUGAGUCAGGAGGAUCACUUAAACCCAGGAGGCGGAGGUUUCAGUGAGCCGAGAUUGCACCAUUGCGCUCCAGCCUGGGCGACAAGAGCAAAAUUCCAUCUCAAACAAAACAAAACAAAACAAAAAGAAAGAAAAAAGAAAAAAAGGACGAUUUGAACCAGGCUUAGAGUAAGAAGGAUGAAGUGACAAGACCAGAGUUUGGGCAGAUGGUGAGACAUUAACAGAUAAUAGAGACAAAGCAGUAUUUUCUACCUCUUAUUCUGUGUCUUUCUCUGGCGAGGAAAAGGAUUUUUCCUUUAGAAAUGGUAGAGAUAACGUGGUUAACAAGAAGUUGACAUCUUAGUUGAGGGAGAUCACAUAAGAGAUAUCAUAAGCUUAUUUAAAUGGCUGCAAAGAUGAUAAAGGUUAUUACUGGGUUUGCUUAUAUGACUAAGGAUAAGCUGCCGGAAAUACUUGGAGAGAAAGAUGGUACAUAGAAGAAAGGAAGAGAAUUUGUCUCAAUUUUCCAAGAAGGAGCAAAUUUGGGAUCCAGAAUACACCUAAAUUACUGUUCAUUCUGUUUUCUCAGACCGCCUCCACUUGCCUAGCCUACUCUUUCUCUUUUUGGGCUAUUUUGUCCAAUCUUUCCCCAUCACUGGACAGGGAGUGGGUACAAAAUGAGCCAGGUGGAUUGUGGCUGGGUUUCAUAGGGCUAAACUACAAAGGGGAAUUUCUAUCCAAGACAACUCAGUACACUAGGUCCUGAAAAGGCAGUUGAGAUAAAUCAUUUGGAGAAGCUGAUAUUAAAGAAACAAGGUGUAAGGAUCAAAAGGAACCAAAGGAAGAAAUGGAGUUACAGGUUUAAAAAGCUGAAAUGCGGGUGGUAGGUUGACAUCAGGUUAGAAUGAGGUCUGAAGUUGGCACAAAAAAUGAACUUCAGAAUGACUACAAAGCAAAAUAAAAACAAAAUAUUAAUGGACAAUACCAGUUUGGUCUUUAUGUAAUUGGGUAUGUGGUGCAUAGGUGGCUCAGGCUAAGGGUUAAGAAAGACAUAGAAUUCAGUUUGAUGGAUUCUUAGCUGGUUAGACAGUCACCUUCUAUGUAAGGAUGAAUUAAUUAGUUAAGAAAUAGAUGUCAGCAUAGGCAACGUUUUUAGUUGAGUGUCUGGACCUGUCAUGUUAAAUAUUCUUUAUCACUGACUUAAAUAGAAGCAUGAAAGGCAAAUAUAUUAGACCUGCAGGUGAAAAAAAUAUAAGAGGAACAGUUAAAAUGUUGGAUGGCAGACUUGAAGAAAGGAUUCCAUUUUCUCUACUUUGCCCCUGAGAGGUUAAAACUAGCAUCAACGGAGGAGCAUUUUUAGAGAGGCAGAUUUAGGCUUACCAUAAAAUGGAACUUUCUUGCAAUUAAUGGUGUACAAAGAUGAGAUUAACUUUUUAAUUUAAUUUAAUUUAACUUUAUUUGAGAUUGAGUCUUGCUCUGUGGCUAGGCUGGAGUGUAGUGGCGUGAUCUCGGCUCACUGCUUCCACCUCCCAGGUUCAAGUGAUUCUCCUGCCUCAGCCUCCCAACUAGCUGGGACUACAGGCGUGCGCCACCAUGCCCAGCUAAUUUUUGUAUUUUUAGUACAGAUGGGGUUUCACCACGUUGGCCAGGAUGGUCUCGAUCUCUUGACCUUAUGAUCCACCUGUCUUGGCCUCCAAAAGUGCUGGAAUUACAGGCGUGGGCCACCAUGCCCAGCUGAGAUUAACUUUAAUUCAACCAAUAUGUAUUGAGCUCCAUACAUGAUACUCUGCUAGAUAUAAUGACAAAUAAGAGAAUUAUUUGGCUGUAAGAGAAUUUAUGGCUAACUUCAGUAAUAAUCUGUAAAGUGCUUAUUUCUAAUAUCCUGAUUAAGGAAAGUUGCUGGAAGUGUUCAAGCCCAGACUAGGAACUGUAUCUCCUUGUAAAGGAGAUUCCUGCAAAUGGUUGAAACGUUGUGCUCAGCCAGUUGGUUUCAAACUUGACUGUGAACCACGAUAAGAAAUACAUUUACAACAAAAUCCAGUACAACCUAUAAUAAAGUUUCAUCAAACAAUGUUGCCUUUAUACCUUUGCUGUUUUCUAUUCUAGCAUUGUCUAGUCUAUUCCGUUAGAAAUAUCCUAAUAAAAGCCACUAAAUUGACUUAGUAAUGGGUUGCUACCCCAGUUGGAAGAACAUUUUGAAGUAGGAGGUGGAACUUGGCUCCAGAGGUAAGGAUUCGAACUUCAGGUGAGAUUGAGUACUAGCUGAAAUAGGGAAGAGGCCAAAGAGCCUCUCCAUAAGACACACCCACCAAUGCCAUGUCAGUUUAUCAUUGUCAUGGCAACACUCAGAUGUUAACACUCAUUUCCAUAGCAACGACCUGCCGACCCAGAAGUUACCACUCUUUGUUAGAAAUGUCUGCAUAAUCUGCCCCUUAAUUUGCAUGUAAUUACAGUGAGUAUAUAUAUUAUUGUAGACCCGCCCCUGAGCUGUUACUCUCUAACAGGCUGCCUUUGGGGUAACCCUGCUCUGCAGGAGCAGUCAUGGAGCUGUAACAUUGCCACCUCAAUAAAGCUGUUUUCUUCUACCA